rnacentral:pre_miRNA from 1 species
GUCCUGACUGUCCUGACUGUCUUUACCGUACUGGCUGUCAUGACCGUCCUGACUGU